CUCGUAGGCGGCUUGUCGCGUCGGAUGUGAAAGCCCGAGGCUUAACCUCGGGUCUGCAUUCGAUACGGGCAGGCUAGAGUGUGGUAGGGGAGAUCGGAAUUCCUGGUGUAGCGGUGAAAUGCGCAGAUAUCAGGAGGAACACCGGUGGCGAAGGCGGAUCUCUGGGCCAUUACUGACGCUGAGGAGCGAAAGCGUGGGGAGCGAACA
rnacentral:rRNA from 1 species